UACGUAGGGUGCGAGCGUUGUCCGGAAUUACUGGGCGUAAAGAGCUCGUAGGUGGUUUGUCGCGUUGUUCGUGAAAACUCACAGCUUAACUGUGGGCGUGCGGGCGAUACGGGCAGACUGGAGUACUGCAGGGGAGACUGGAAUUCCUGGUGUAGCGGUGGAAUGCGCAGAUAUCAGGAGGAACACCGGUGGCGAAGGCGUGUCUCUGGGCAGUAACUGACGCUGAGACGCGAAAGCGUCGGGAGCGAACAGG
rnacentral:rRNA from 1 species